rnacentral:lncRNA from 1 species
CCAUCCUGGUCACCGGUCAAAGGAUCCACAGCAUCACUUCCACCACCCAGCACAAAAAGCUUUCCGCCAACAAAGACAGCCCCAAAGUGGGCAAGGUGCCUGAUGUUUGAAGGAAGAACUGGGAGAGUAAUCCAAAGGUCACACGCAGGAUCAUAAAGCUGCCAUAGAUUGUCAGGGUCAUAUGAGCAAAGACAUAUAAAUUCCUCAGUUGAGUUCACCUCUUGACGGGCUUUAAAGAGUUCAGUGCUCCGAAUGGCAGCUCGCCAGGAACGCGAAACAAGUUCUAACUUUGGAUGAAGAUGGAAGGGAACCCGUGCAAGGCACCUGAGGGCGACAGCAUCAGGAAGGCCUUCAAUAAGUCCAGACAUAACCAUGCAAUACCUUGAAUAUAGAUUUUUUCUUUCUUAAGCGAUUGUGAUUUGUUGGUUGGUGAAAACAGCUUCCAAACGUACUAUCUAAAACACCACAUAAAUAAAUAAGUAAAAAUCAAUAUAUAAGAGAUGAUCUGUUCAUAUAAAAGUCUCUUCGACUAGAGCAUUUCAACAGCCUGAUUAGGGAAAAAAAAGUACCCUAAAGGCGAGAUAUGUCAGCAUUCUGAGAGCGUCAUCUUAUCCAGACAUCCAAAUUAGGAUCAGUUUUUGACUCUGAGCAAAUCGGAACAUAAAAGGUUUUAGCAUGCCAUGUCUGAUGGAAAUAAAAAAUCAGUUACUUCGCUAAACACAACAGCUCUAACAAUGCCAAUAAAAGCCUUAAUCAAGGUGUAACAUUAUGAAAUGUGAUUUAUGGUCACCAUAGAUACCUAUACCACUUAAUUCUCUAUCAUAAGGAGAUAACAUGCCUAACAUUUUACAACUUACAAUCAAGAAUGAUUGGUAAAUGCACUCUACAUCGAGAGAAAUUAACUGUGCAAAGCCUAUCAAGGCACUAAUGUCCUUCACCCCCAUGCUUCAUAAAGGCACUCGUUAUAUUCUAAGCGAAAGAUCUUGGCAUGUGCAUAAUAUAUUCUGCAGAAUUCAGAAAUUGAAGAAAUUAUAAAUUUUUGACAAUGCAAGUUCAUAUUUCAUCACUAUUUUGAGUCGUGGAGUAGCUUUCAGUUGGCCACGUGGAAGGACCAAUUUUCGAGGUCAACAGAUUAAAUUUAAGAAAAAAAUAUGAACGACACAACGUGAUUAAACCAUUUCAUCCUAUUGGAAGGAAAGAAGAUGAAUUGUCUAGAACAAGAUGAAAAAUGUAGUAAUAUUAACAAUACUAUCCAGACAGUCAUUUCUAAAGAACCCAAAACCAACUAAACUUGAUAUUCAAACAUGCAAUAAAACCAUCAAUGAAAUCUUAUGACCUUAUACGAUUUUGAGCACCGUGCACAAGAGAAUAUAAUAGCCAUCCAUGAGUUCCAUAAAGAAAGCUCAAAAGCGGAAAAAUCAAAUACAGAACAAAUAAUUCUGGGUACAAUUACAGAAACAAAACGAACCUCGAAUAAACGAGAACAUUAAAAGGUUACUUCGUUCUAAUACAUUGUUUUCUGCAAGUAACAGCAGUGUGAUGCCUCUUUCAAAGGUAUUGGACAACCAUAAAAAGGUUUAUCCAAACUCUAAACGAAGGACAGCAAUUUAUGGCAUACAUGCAAAGUGAGGCCACCAAAAGGGCGGGUUCUCUUCUUUAUUUCAAGCACUGUGCAUACCUUCCAUCCCACGAGUCGAAGACCUAAAUCUUCAGCUGUGUACAUCCGAGGACAGUUCCCAUGCACCGUGUCAUAGGAGCUGCCUGAUGCCAAACCGGUCUUUCAUUUCCAAGCGACAGAACAUCAACAUCAUUCGUCACCUUGAUAUCCCAAUACAUCCUGUCAGGCCCUACAACUCCUCCAAUUAUAUAAAUAUCAUCUCCCAGCCCUAUCAUCCCGAAACCAAUCUUGCGACGAAACUCAGAUGCUGAAACUACUAACUUGCUAAAUUCCCUCUCCUGCUUGUAAAUUUGGCCAUGACUCAUUACAUAUAGCUUCCCCUUAACGACUGCCAUUGGACCCUGAAGCCACCCAUAGUCAUGAACAGUCCAACCCAGCUUAAUACUGUCCAAAACUUGCACAGUUGACAAUCCCUUGUGCAAGACAUGAACCUUACCCCCAAUAACCACUCCUGUACAUGCAGAAUUGUGAGUGCGGUGAAGAUCGGGUAUUGAAACCCAGACAUCCUUGUCAGGAUCGUAGACUUCAGCUUUAGAGAUAGACUUCCUGCAGUUAGUAAAACCACCUGCCACGAUUAUUUUCCCAUCCAUCACACAGCAUGCGAACAUUGCACGAGGCACAAUCAUAGAUGCGCGUAGGGCCCACUGCCGAGAUACUGGGUCGUAUGACCAUACCGCAUCAGUAGCAAAACUUCCAUCCUGGUCACCGGUCAAAGGAUCCACAGCAUCACUUCCACCACCCAGCACAAAAAGCUUUCCGCCAACAAAGACAGCCCCAAAGUGGGCAAGGUGCCUGAUGUUUGAAGGAAGAACUGGGAGAGUAAUCCAAAGGUCACACGCAGGAUCAUAAAGCUGCCAUAGAUUGUCAGGGUCAUAUGAGCAAAGACAUAUAAAUUCCUCAGUUGAGUUCACCUCUUGACGGGCUUUAAAG